AACGAACGCUGGCGGCGUGCUUAACACAUGCAAGUCGAACGGGAAUGAUUCCUUCGGGAAUCUAGUACAGUGGCGAACGGGUGAGUAACACGUAGGUGAUCUGCCUCUUGCUGGGGAACAACUCCGGGAAACCGGAGCUAAUUCCGCAUAAGCCAUCCUGGUCGCGGCCAGGAUGGGAAAGGUGGCCUCUUCAUGAAAGCUAUCGGCGAGAGAUGAGCCUGCGUACCAUUAGCUAGUUGGUAGGGUAAUGGCCUACCAAGGCUACGAUGGUUAGCUGGUCUGAGAGGAUGAUCAGCCACACUGGAACUGAGACACGGUCCAGACUCCUACGGGAGGCUG
rnacentral:rRNA from 1 species